CCAAGCUACUAAGAGCCAACGGUGAAUAAGGACGUGGGUGGCUGCGAAAAGCCACGGUGAGCUGUCUACCGAGCUUUGACCCGUGGAUGUCCGAAUGGGGAAACCCUGCACUCGUAAUGGGGUGUAACUCCCGCCUGAACACAUAGGGCGGGUAGAGGGAACUGGGUGAACUGAAACAUCUAAGUAACCCAAGGAAAAGAAAGCAACAGCGACUCCCUGAGUAGCGGCGAGCGAAAUGGGAUGAGCCUAAACCGACCUGGUGUCAAGCCUGACGGCGUUGCCAGAUCGGGGUCGUGGGACCAAAUGGGAGGGGCGUCAGACCUUCCACAGAGUUACAAAUCUGCCGGUUAGCAGAAGUGUCCUGGAAAGACACGCCGUAGCGGGUAAUAGCCCCGUAUGCGAAAACCGAGCAGACUCUGAUUUGAGCUCCCGAGUAACACCGGAUCCGGGAAAGCCGGUGUGAAUCUGCGAGGACCACCUCGUAAGGCUAAGUAUACGUAGUCGACCGAUAGCGAACUAGUACCGUGAGGGAAAGGUGAAAAGUACCCCGGGAGGGGAGUGAAAUAGUACCUGAAACCGUUGGUUUACAAUCAGUCAAAGCGUCGUCUGGAACUUGUUCCAGGCCGCGAUGGCGUGCCUUUUGAAGAAUGAGCCUACGAGUUACGGUGUGUGGCAAGGUUAACCCGUGAGGGGAAGCCGGAGCGAAAGCGAGUCUGAACAGGGCGUUCAGUCGCAUGCUGUAGACCCGAAGCCGAGUGAUCUAUCCAUGGGCAGUGUGAAGCGGGGGUAAGACCCCGUGGAGGCGCGAACCGACCUAGGUUGAAAACUGGGCGGAUGACCUGUGGAUAGGGGUGAAAGGCCAAUCAAACUCGGUGAUAGCUGGUUCUCCGCGAAAUGCAUUUAGGUGCAGCGUCGCAUGUUCAGUCAUGGAGGUAGAGCACUGGAUGGGUUAGGGGGCCUACAAGCUUACCAACCCCAGCCAAACUCCGAAUGCCAUGACUCCAGAGUGCGGCAGUGAGUCCUCGGGGGAUGAGCUUCGAUGGACGAAAGGGAAACAGCCCAGACCGCCGACUAAGGCCCCAAAGUUCUGACUAAGUGGUAAACGAAGUGGGAUUGCACAGACAGCCAGGAUGUUGGCUUAGAAGCAGCCACCAUUAAAAGAGUGCGUAAUAGCUCACUGGUCGAGUGAUCCCGCGCGGAAAAUGUAACGGGGCUCAAGUCAGACGCCGAAGUCGCGGACUUCUGCAUAGCAGGAGUGGUAGCGGAGCGUCGAGCCUGGAUUGAAGCGGCGGUGUAAACCGUCGUGGACUGGGUUCGAGUGAGAAUGUAGGCAUGAGUAGCGAGAGAGGGGUGAGAAACCCCUCCGCCGGAAGUCCAAGGGUUCCUGGGGAAGGCUAAUCCUCCCAGGGUGAGUCGGGAGCUAAGGCGAGGCCGAGAGGCGUAGUCGAUGCACAACCGGUUGAUAUUCCGGUACCACAGGUUGCGCGACAAACGCCAAUCUGCAGUUGCUAAGGGGAUGGUCGGUCCUUCGGGAUCGACAGGAACUAACCCACUGCGGGGAGGCGAGUGAUGCGGGGACGCAGGAAGGUAGAUGAUCCCAGGCGAUGGUUGUCCUGGGGCAAGCGUGUAGGUCGAGGCGUAGGUAAGUCCGCUCCUCAUAAAGACUGAGACGUGACGCCGAGCCGUUUAAGGCGAAGUCAUUGAUCCUAUGCUGCCGAGAAAAGCCGCUAGCGAGUGCAACAAGUGCCCGUACCCCAAACCAACUCAGGUGGACAGGUAGAGAAUACCAAGGCGAUUGGGAGAACUAUGGUUAAGGAACUCGGCAAAAUACAUCCGUAACUUCGGGAGAAGGAUGACCGCAUUAGGGUGAAAGAACUUCGCGUUCUUAGCUCGAAGCGGUGGCACAGACCAGGGGAAAGCGACUGUUUACUAAAAACACAGCAGCGUGCAAAGUCCUAAGACGACGUAUACGCUGUGACGCCUGCCCGGUGCCGGAAGGUUACGGGGAAGGGUUAGCUCUAGGGCGAAGCUCUGAACCUAAGCCCCGGUAAACGGCGGCCGUAACUAUAACGGUCCUAAGGUAGCGAAAUUCCUUGUCGGGUAAGUUCCGACCUGCACGAAUG
rnacentral:rRNA from 1 species